UGUUCGUGAUUUGAUCCAGACAAGAUGUUUUAUGACAAUGAUCACAGCAUUUUGGACCUUGGUCAACAACCCAUGCAGCUUGCUACAACACUUUAGUAGUGGAAGCAUUGAAUGAUUCAAGUGAUGUAGCUGCAAAUCAAGAAGAUUAAAACACGAAGCAUGUUUACCUCUAUGUGGAAUUUCAUCAAACGCCACAAAAAGAAGUUUGUGUUCAGUGGUUUUCUCGUAGGAGGUGGUGUAUACUUGUACAAGUAUGCUCAGAGGAGAUUUAAAGAUAUCCAGGAAAAAGAAGCAGCAGAAUGCCUGAAACAUGCCAGGCAACAGCAUCAUUUUGACAGUAAUCAAAGGACGUGUAAUAUGACAGUGAUAUCAAUGCUUCCGACCCUGAGAGAAGCUCUGAUAAAGAAAUUUGAUACUGAUGCUGUGAAAGAAUCUCUCAAAAACAGUCCAGAAAACAAACUAGAGCUAUGGGAAAAAUUGAAAGUUAUGAGCCUGACCAGAAUCAUCUGUGUGCUGUACGGCUGUAGUAUCCUCUGUCUUGUUCUGCGUGUUCAGCUCAAUAUCGUCGGCGGUUACAUGUUUCUGGACAGUAUGUUCAACCGCAACGGAAUGACACAGAAUAUGGCAGUGGUUCCAAAAGAGCUACAAGAGAGAUACCUGUCUUUGAUACGACACUUCAUGGAUUAUGGACUGUUUCAGUUGUGUGAUGUGAUUCAUGAAGCUGUAGAAAAAGAAAUUAAAAGCGUGUCUCUGAAGGAGCGUUUAUCCUUCCAUAACCUUAAAGCCAUCAGUGACCAAAUCCGUGAACGUAUCGAGAGCAGUCCCGAGAUCUCCGACCUUCAGUCUCCCACCCUCAUGCUGUGUACCUACAUGUUACCAUCUGAAAGUCACACCAGUAUGGAAACUGAAAAUGCACAAGAGAAAAUGUACCAACAGCUGGUUCAAGAAACGAGGGAUGUUUUAGAGAGUCCCGACUUCCAUGCCGUCCUGCACACGUGUCUCAACCGGGGAUUCGCUAAGCUGUUAGACAGCAUGGCUGACCACUACAGGGAGGCUGCGACUGACCAGCAACAGAACCUCCACGAGGUCGGGAUUCCUAUGGCCAAGCUUGUUCCUGUGAUGAGUGGUCUGAUGUUCAAGCUGUGUAGCGACACUCCAAACCCUCUGAUUCAGGAGUUACUUCUACUUGACCAAACAAAGACAUUGGCUGCCAAUAUCUACGAGGCAUUUAGUCAGCAGGAAGAACUGGCAGCAAUAAUACAACAGGAAGUUUAAAUACAUCUGUAUUCCCUGUUUUGGCACCAAUGACAGUUCUUGUCAUAGUGGUGCUUCAAAGUCUCUCUUACAAAACCUGUGCUUCAGGAAGUGAUGAAAUUAGUAGCAGUCCUAGUUAUAAGCUUCCUACUCUUUGACCAAUCAGAGCUUUGUUUUCUCACAACCUCAUUGUUUCUCUGAAAUUGAAUUGGUUUUACAAAUCUAUGGAAUUUUGGUAUUAUAUUUUGUAAGAUUUGUUUUGGUAUAAUUAUAUCUCUUACCUCUGUUAUUCUAAAACUGUCUACUUAAACAUACAGAUAUAAUUUAAAGUUAACUUGACAAGCUAAGAAACCAUUUCAGUGGAUGGAAGAGCUGGACCAUGGUUGUUGUGUAAUUAAGGUUUACGACAUAAUUUCACGGUGUCAGUACUCUUUGAUCAGGAAAGCUAUUGUCUGGGAUUUUAAGUCCAUGUGUAGGUUUUGUAUUAAGCCUGGGAUUUUAAGUCCAUGUGUAGGUUUUGUAUUAAGCCUGUUUCAAUUAACUCCUGUAAAACAAUGAGUUUACAAUUGAACAAACCAUUCCAACGACAUAAAUGAUAGCACCCAGGUGUCAGAGCCUGUGUGUGAAGUAUAUUGUGGCCCUAGUGUCAGAAUGGAUUUUUACAUUUCUUUUUCCUCCUACAAUUAAAAUUGUGGUAGGGGGGAAAUCUAUAUACAGUAUGGUGGCAAUGUGAGUCUGAUAGGGAAAACAAUACAAAGGGUAUCAUGACUUUGUGUAGCGAUGAAAUGUAUGGUUGUACAGUGUAUCGGAAUCCACCCACCAGUUGUUUCUAGUGUAUCGGAAUCCACCCCCUAGUUGUUUCUAGUGUAUCGGGAUGUAGAUUGGUGCGAAGGUGUGUAUACAUGUAAUUAGGAGAGAAUGUGUAAAUGUAAGUAGAUGAGUGAGUAUACAUGUGUGAAGGAGUGUGUACAAUGUGUAUGUUGUAAUGGUGGUAUUUAUACAGAGGUAGUGUAAAUGUAAAAAUCUAGUGAUUUAAAGCACACUGACUGAUGUUUAAAUGGAAUAUUUGUUGAACAUUCUUUUGAUUUCUGUACUGGUAUACUCUGUAUAUAAUGAAAACCUGUACAUUAUGAUACUAUAAUAGCCCAUUUUAUAUAAAAAAAUAUAUCAUGAAAAACGUAAUCUACAUCUCAUUUUUCCUCCCAAAAGAAGGUGAAGCAUUAUUCUAACAUUAUGUAGCAUUUGUCUGUGUACAGACCCUAGUAUAUAGACGUUAUGUAAGAUACACAAUAGGUUUGGAUUAUUUUGAUCAAAUGGCUUAAAAUUUAACAAAACAAUUUAACUGCAGAUUAUUGUAAUACAUUAUGUAUGUUUUUAGCUGAAAGGGUUGAGACCAAGUGGUAAACAACCCCAAAUCCAAAUUACAUUUGUACUAUAAGGCGACGGUAAACUCCGUUGGUGUAGCACUAGUGCAGGUUGACAUUUGUACUAUAAGGCGACGGUAAACUCUGUUGGUGUAGCACUAGUGCAGGUUUACAUUUGUACUAUAAGGCGACGGUAAACUCCGUUGGUGUAGCACUAGUGCAGGUUUACAUUUGUACUAUAAG
rnacentral:misc_RNA from 1 species